rnacentral:rRNA from 1 species
GGUAGGGGUGUUAGGGCACGACACCGGAGAGGGAGCCUGAGAAACGGCUACCACAUCCAAGGAUGGCAGCAGGCGCGCAAAUUACCCAAUCCCGACACGGGGAGGUAGUGACAAUAAAUAACAAUACGGGGUUCUUUCGAAUUUCGUAAUUGGAAUGAGUACAAUUUAAAUCUCUUAACGAGGAACAAUUGGAGGGCAAGUCUGGUGCCAGCAGCCGCGGUAAUUCCAGCUCCAAUAGCGUAUAUUAAAGUUGUUGCAGUUAAAAAGCUCGUAGUUGAAUUUCGGAGUCAGUAGGUUGGUCAUGCCACUGGUAUGUACUGGUCUCACUGAUUCCUCCUUCCUGAUGAGCCGUAAUGCCAUUAAUUUGGUGUUGCGGGGAAUUUGGACUGUUACUUUGAAAAAAUUAGAGUGUUUAAAGCAAGCUAACGCUUGAAUACAUUAGCAUGGAAUAAUGAAAUAGGACGUUCGAUCCUAUUUUGUUGGUUUCUAGGAUUGACGUAAUGAUUAAUAGGGAUAGUUGGGGGCAUUAGUAUUCAAUUGUCAGAGGUGAAAUUCUUGGAUUUAUUGAAGACUAACUACUGCGAAAGCAUUUGCCAAGGAUGUUUUCAUUAAUCAAGAACGAAAGUUAGGGGAUCGAAGACGAUCAGAUACCGUCGUAGUCUUAACCAUAAACUAUGCCGACUAGGGAUCGGAUGAU